UUUUAUGUUGUCUAUGAUGCAUUACACUGUGGUUGAUUUUAAAUAAUGAAAUUAACAGUUCUAUUAUUCGUCACUACCUCUGAGACAAUAAUUAU